GACGAACGCUGGCGGCGUGCUUAACACAUGCAAGUCGAACGGAAAGGCCUCUUUCGUGGGGUACUCGAGUGGCGAACGGGUGAGUAACACGUGAGUAACCUGCCCUCCUCUUUGGGUUAACUUCAGGAAACUGGGGCUAAUACCGGAUAGGAGCUCCUGCGACAUGGAGGGGGUUGGAAAGUUUCGGGGGUUGGGGAUGGAUUCUCGGGUUAUCAGCUUAUUUGUGGGGGAAUGGGUUACCAAGGCGUUGGCGGGUAGCCGGCCUGGGGAGGUGACCGGCGGCAUUGGGACUUAGGUGCGGCCCAGGCAGCUACGGGGGGGCAAAGGGGGGAAUAAUGAAGGAUGAGUGGAAGGCUGAUGCAGAAAGGCCGUGGGCGGGAUGACGGCCUUCGGGUUGAAAACCGCAUUCGCACAUGACGAAGCAUUGUGUGACGGUAGUGGGUAAAGAAGCACCGGCUAACUACGUG
rnacentral:rRNA from 1 species